UGAGGUGGGAUCCCGGGCCCUCCGCGGGCCCGGGCGCACCACCGGCCCGUCUCGCCCGCCCCGUCGGGGAGGUGGAGCAUGAGCGCGUGCGAUAGGACCCGAAAGAUGGUGAACUAUGCCUGGGCAGGGC
rnacentral:rRNA from 1 species